AUUUUUGUGUCUGAAACAGGUCUAAUAGACAUUAAUUUGUGAUGCCAGUCAAAAUCGUAUAGAUCACUAAGAAUAGCCCAAAACUAGACUAGUCAUCAAAUCAACUUGAAUGACUACACAUGCGAAGUCUGUCCAAUCUGUGUAUAUUUUUGAUGAUUAGCCUAGUUUUUUUCUAAUUUAGGUUUAGAUAGUCAAUUUAGCCUCAUGUUAGACGUCUAUUAGUUGUUUAUCAAACAUAAAAUUGUUUGGUGGGAAUGUGCGCUAGCAAAAUAAACAUUGUACAUUUUGAUUUCAUGUGAACUCCUUUUCUUUCAGUGCUUUAGGAACAGUGAGCUGCCCUGUCCAGAAGCCUGUAUAUUUUGGUUAAACAGAGGAGAAAGAGACUGAUGGGAAGACAGAGAGAAGAAAGUAAUGGAAACCCUUGUGGCAGCAGGGAUUUCCUGCGAGCGGAUCGGGAGGACGGCGGCCCAUAUUGCACCACAGGAAGAUGUGUGCCCGACUCCAGCAGCAGAGGUCAAGGUGAGGGUCAGAUUUACAGCAGCCCGUUCCCAGCCUUCAUCCACGUCCUGCGGAAAUCAGCCAUAAAGACGCCGUUUUCAUCUCUCAAGGUUCUGUCAUAAACCCGCAGCAUUCGCCGGCUUUUUUUUUUUGAGAGUAAAAAAGAAUGACGAAUACAUAUAAAACCGCGCAACAAUAUCCUACUGUAGUCCUUUCAUCUCGAGUUAACCUUUCCGACACGGACCACCCCAUUGUUUCACGCAGGCAAAAACACUGCUGCUUCACGCUACCGUCAGCUCACAGAUAUUACUGACUUUUUAAUAUCUUGGUCUAAUGCAUAAAGAAAACAUACAAAAUAUACUUUAAAGUCUUUCUUACAUACUUUAUCAGUUUAUCUUUGUGUAGAAUUUAUGUAUAAUACAUGUUUUUAAAGCUGGCUUUCUUUAAAGGAGCUUUUUUACUCUUGCAUUGAGCCAGAAAUCUCCACUUUAGCAGAUUUACACCAAACUUUAGCUACAUUUUGUUAAUUUCUGUGCUCUGAAGGUUUUUACAGAGUGUUAUGUUCAUACAUAAUUUGACUUUUUAUUAUUAUUAUUAUUUUUAUUAUUAUUUUAAAAUCAUUUUACAAUAUAACAAACAGCACAAUUGACAA